rnacentral:rRNA from 1 species
UACGUAGGUGGCAAGCGUUGUCCGGAUUUACUGGGCGUAAAGAGCGCGCAGGCGGUUGAUUAAGUCGAAUGUGAAAGCCCCCGGCUCAACUGGGGAGGGUCAUUCGAUACUGAUCGACUUGAAGGCAGGAGAGGGUAGUGGAAUUCCCGGUGUAGUGGUGAAAUGCGUAGAUAUCGGGAGGAACACCAGUGGCGAAGGCGACUACCUGGCCUGUUCUUGACGCUGAGGCGCGAAAGCUAGGGGAGCAAACGGG